rnacentral:misc_RNA from 1 species
UAUAAUUCAAUUAUAUAAAUCUCACACUCAAUGAACCACAUGCUAGAGUAGAUUUUGCUUUGGCCAUGUAAUGAUAAGGAAAAGGGUAAUUUAUAAAAUAGUCCCUGAAGUAUGUCAAAAUAUAUAAGUCAGCCCCUUUCAUAAAAAACCUCAUGAUUACAUCCUUAAUGUUUAAUUUUGUUAACAAAUUAGUCCUUCCAUCCAAAAUCACCACAAUUUAUCAUUAGUCCAAGCGAAAACAGGAGUCAAGACCUAAAAAAGGUAGAAUUCCAAAAUUAUUCUUACCUAAUAUCUCUCUUUCUCUAAUCUCCUCCUCCCUCUUCCUCUCUCUCGAGUUUCUCUCCCCCUUUUUGUAGUUUCUUCAUCUCCCUUCCAAUUUUAUGACACUUUGCCUCUUCAAUGCUAUGCAAGGGAAGGUGAACAAAUAACCUUGUGAUCACAUGUACACAGAUACCAAGGUUAAAGGCCAUAUUUAGGUAUCAAGGCAACCACAAUAUACAUGGCAAAGGAGGUUCCAAUAAGAUUGAUCUGCCCUACUUACCCGUUGUUUGGAUUGAGGGGUUAUGGUGGUAAGGGAAAGUAAGAUAUGGUUUUAAGGAAUUUUUUUCUUGUUUGGGAUGGACAGUUGAGGAAUAGGGAGGGUUUUAGGGGGUUAUUCAACUCCAAUCCCCCCAAAACCUUCCAAUUUCUAACCCACCAAUUUGGUGGGUUGAGGAGAGUUAAAAAAAUUUUUAUUUUUUGAUUUCUUAUAUUACCCAUAUCAAUUUUAAAAAAUCUCCAAAAUAUUCCUUCUUGCUAUAAAAUAAUAAGUUUCAUAAAAAUGAUAGUUUUGUAAUUUUUAUAUUUAACCUUACCUUCCAAUACUAUCUAACCAAACAAAAUAAGGUUAUAAAACCUUCAUUUACGUUACCUUCCUCCCAAAUAUAAAUAAAACUAUUCUCUUACCUUACCAUACCAUAUCUUCAUUUACCUUACCUUACCUUACCUUAUUUUACUAAACCUCCCUUUACUCCAUCCAAACAAACCCUUAAGGGAAAAGAGAAGAAUCAAAUAAGUGAACUCUAAAAGGCUCCUUAUUGUUAGAGUUGCUUAUGGGAUGGAAAUUUGCAUUGGACAAUAGAGAGACAAGGCCAAUAUUACCAUUGCUCCUACUCCUAUGGAUAAACCUAAGUUUAAUUUAGGCAAUCUUCUUUGACAUUGUGAACGCAUUCUUGGUCCACUACACCAAUAGCUUUGAGUCAUGCAAAAUGAUGACCAUGCAUUAUGUUGAUUAAAAGGGAGGUUGGAAAAGAAAGGGUUUAUCAAACAUCAAAUUGUCCAAAGGGGUAGAGUGGAUGGAAACCAUAACUUUAGCAAGCCUUGAAGUGGUGAAAUUGUGAAAGAGCCUACUAGAGAAAAAGCUAAUUUGCCUAAACCCAUCCAAUCUGUCCUUGAAGUGGUGAAGGAUGUGCCAUGGAGAGGACCACCCAAAAGAGAGGUGGUAUCUAAUUUUCCACAUAAGGGAUGAGUGAAACCCAAGGUUGAGUUAGGACCAAAGAAGGCCUUCUUAAGGUGCAAAUUUUAACAACUAUGGCAACAAGCACAUAAUUCCUCUAUCUAUAUCUUUCUUUCUACUUUUGUGAGAUAUUCUCAAUACAUAUUAUCCAAAAUUAUAAAUCUUCAAUUGCUCUUCGACGCUCUUUCUUAGCAAAACAAUCAGUCUUUGAAAUUCCAAUGGUCCAACAUCACCCUCAUACCAAUUCAAAGAAAAUUAUUAGGUUCAAGUUAGCCAAAGAGUUGCUAUACCACACUAUUCGCCAUUUAUACUAUUGAAUAAUCUAUACAUUCCUAUUCUAAAACUUCCCCUCAAGUUGAAGCGUACAUAUUGUAUACUCCUAACUUGUUACAGAUAUACUCAAUUCUAGUCCCUCGGAGAGAUUUAAUGAGAAUGUCAGCUAGCUAAUUAUUUGGACUGACAAAACUUGCAGCAAUACAUCCAAACUCAAUCUUUUGUCUAAUAAAGUGACAAUCUAUCUCUGUGUGCUUUGUCCUUUCAUGAAACGCAGGAUUAAAAGCGAUACGUAAUGUAGCUUGAUUAUCACAAAUCAAUUUCAUUUGUUCCUCACCUCCAUAUUUUAACUCAUGAAGAAGUUGUUUU